rnacentral:rRNA from 1 species
GACGAACGCUGGCGGCGUGCCUAAUACAUGCAAGUCGAGCGAGCUUGCCUAGAUGAAUUUGGUGCUUGCACCAGAUGAAACUAGAUACAAGCGAGCGGCGGACGGGUGAGUAACACGUGGGUAACCUGCCCAAGAGACUGGGAUAACACCUGGAAACAGAUGCUAAUACCGGAUAACAACACUAGACGCAUGUCUAGAGUUUAAAAGAUGGUUCUGCUAUCACUCUUGGAUGGACCUGCGGUGCAUUAGCUAGUUGGUAAGGCAACGGCUUACCAAGGCAAUGAUGCAUAGCCGAGUUGAGAGACUGAUCGGCCACAUUGGGACUGAGACACGGCCCAAACUCCUACGGGAGGCAGCAGUAGGGAAUUUUCCACAAUGGACGCAAGUCUGAUGGAGCAACGCCGCGUGAGUGAAGAAGGGUUUCGGCUCGUAAAGCCCUGUUGGUAGUGAAGAAAGAUAGAGGUAGUAACUGGCCUUUAUUUGACGGUAAUUACUUAGAAAGUCACGGCUAACUACGUG